CAGAACUUGAAAAAGUGUAUGAAUGUCUUCAAAUGAAUUGUUAACAGGACAACAUCUAUCAGAUCAAAGAUGAAAAUCCUUCAGGCCUAAUUGACAGCAAGUCUUUAUAUCUUCAUUUGUUCCCAUUAGAAGUCCUUGUGCCCUUGAAUAAACAGGUAAGAUAAUAACUUUAAUUACUGCUAUAAUUAGGAAGCACCUGUGCUUUGGCAUGAGAAAAAAAAAAGCCUAAAAACAAACUUUCUUUUCU
rnacentral:lncRNA from 1 species